rnacentral:rRNA from 1 species
AUGAGCCUGAACUCUGAAGAAGGUUUGAUGUGCAAAGAUAUAUCGCACUCGUCGCAAUCUAGUGCCCCUUCCCCGGCCCAUCCCCUGAGCCCAUGCCGCUACGAGUGCGUCUCCACGCUCAGGGGGCACUCCUCCUACGUCUCUGGCCUCGCCGUCGACGGCAACUCGCUCUACGUCGCCUCGUCGGACGGACACAUCAGGCUGUGGCCACUGGACAUGGGCAGCACGACCGUGCAACAGGGGGGCUCUGUUGUUGCCGUCACCAAUAGCUCCAUAAAGUGCCUCAUGGCCACCAGCGAUGGUCUUGUCAGCGCCCACCAGGACGGCAAGAUCAGGGUGUGGCAGCACGCCGUCCGGCGGAAAGGCGGGAGCAGCCACCUCGCCCUGCACGGCGUGCUGCCGACCACCGCGGACUGCCUGCGCACGUUCCUGUUCCCCAAGAACUACGUCGACGUCCGGCGGCAGACGAGUCGCACCUGGGUGCACCACGUGGACGCGGUCACCGCGCUCGCGCUGUCCCCGGACGGCGGGUACAUGUACUCCGUGUCCUGGGACCGGAGCCUCAAGGUGUGGCGCCUACCCAGCCUCCGCUGCAUGGAGUCUAUCGCCCCGGCCCACAACGACGCCAUCAACGCCAUCGCCGUGUCGUCGGACGGGCAUGUCUACACCGGGUCGGCCGACCGGACGAUCAAGGCGUGGAUGCGCAACCCGGGGCAGAAGAGGCUCGCGCUGGUCGGCACCAUGGAGCGGCACAGGUCGGCGGUGAACGCGCUGGCGAUGGGCGUCGGCGGGCUGGUUCUCUACUCCGGCUCGUGCGACCGGUCCGUCGUCGUGUGGGAGGGCUUUGACGCCGGAGGCGCGGCGGCCACGAGGACUCUCAGGGGGCACGUCGAGGCGGUGCUGUGCCUGGCCGCCGCCGGCGACGUGGCGUGCAGCGGGUCCGCGGACAGGACGGUGAGGGUGUGGCGGCGGGGAGCGGAGGGCGAGUACUCCUGCUCGGCCGUCCUGGACGGCCAUGGCGCUGCCGUGAAGAGCCUGGCAUUGGUGUUGACGGGAGGCGACCGAUGCAGCGAGCGGGAGGAGAGUUCGCGCGGCGGCUGCUCCGCUCUGGUUUGCAGCGGUUCGUUGGACUGCGACGUGAAGAUCUGGAGGGUGACUUGA